UGGGAGCUCUGUGUGUGUCUGUGUGACCCUCAGUGACCUUUAACAGAGAGCAGGCUUAUGAGGCCUACCUGGGGAGAUGUCUGUGCCUCUGGGCCUGUCAGUGACUUAAUACAACACACAAGGCAGCUGCUCCUCCUCAGAGUCUGUCUCUUCAGGUGAGCAGACUCACCUGGCCGGACUUCUCUCUCUUCUGACAACACACUGUUGUUCCUCUUCUAGGCGUUCUUUGGGGUAGCCUUCUCGCCACCUUAUCCGAAGAAAUCAGAUGGUAUUUACAAUAGAUGCAUCUAUUGCACACACACACACACACACACACACACACACACACACACACACACACACACACACACACACACA